rnacentral:rRNA from 1 species
UACGGAGGGUGCGAGCGUUGUCCGAAAUCACUGGGCGUAAAGGGCGCGUAGGUGGCGCGGGAAGUCAACGGUGAAAGUUCGGGGCUCAACCCUGAAUCGGCCGUCGAUACUCCCGGGCUCGAGCACUGUAGAGGCAGAUGGAAUUCCGGGUGUAGCGGUGGAAUGCGUAGAGAUCCGGAAGAACACCGGUGGCGAAGGCGGUCUGCUGGGCAGUUGCUGACACUGAGGCGCGACAGCGUGGGGAGCAAACAGG